rnacentral:lncRNA from 7 species
GGGCUCUUGGUUCUUGCAUGGAAACGUUCAGGAUUCUUUCAAAGUUAGAGAACCAUAACUUUGUUUUUUACUCCUUGGUUCUUUUAUUCAUGUGAUUUAGCCUAGCAAGACUAAGUCACACAUGCUAACAGCCAGCUCAGAAUAGAUAUAAUGAUUUUAGAUCAAAACUCUGUGCAGAAAAAAAAAAAUCAUGGACUGAAAUAGGGGAUAUCAGGGCCAAGCAAACUCAGAUGCCUUAAGGAAAUAGCAAAAAUGGGUUCUUCCCUCUUCUGUGGACGGCCAGCGUGUUACAGCACCCGUGUGCAUGUGAGAUCUCUGCCUUUUAUUUUCAGUUACCCCCAAGUCUCCUAACCAAAGCGUCUCCUCCCUGAUGAGGGUGAUCACUGGCUACAAGCCUGGGGCUUCCACACCCAAGGUCUGGGAAGCUGCUCUUUCCGGAAGGGUGGUAGAGACCCUGGGAACCAGACCAGGCGGGCUCACAAAGUAUGAAGAGAAUGUCGGGAGAGGAAGUGGUGGCUCUGAGUCAGCACGAGUCAUCUGGUUCCAGUGACAAUGAAGACUGAGGUGUCUGCUUUGCAGUUUUUUUUUUUCUUUUCUUGUCUUUUUUUUUUUUUUUCCUAAUCAUGUGGACAUCUCUGAGAAUGAGGGGACUGGGUGACUUUGCAGUGUCUGCUUUCUAAGUUUCAAAGUGACUUUCCAGGCAAGCUGCGCAUAUCUUGGGAUCUUCACAGCACAGUGGCUGGGAAGGCAGGCGGACCCGUCUAUCAGCUUCUCCCUGAAUAACUGGGAGCUGAAACAGGAAGCCCCAUGACACAGUUGAUCGAAAAUGACACAGACACAGAAAAAUCAGGACGUGCCCCCAGCAGCACCCCUACCUGCUGCCUGCUGAUCACGGCUGGGAGGCCCGUCCAGGGUUCCCACCCGGGAACGGACUCUUAGCUACUCAGUGCUCACGGGUGCUGGGCCUGCAGAGCUUUUCGGAUGCUCUCUUACAGCUGGUUUGUUAUCUUUUAAUCAAUCAACUAAUUAAUCUAUUACUUUAUUUAUUGGCCCUCCCCAUGUCUUGAUCCUUUCUUCAUUAAAAGCAAAAGGAAAGAAAAUGCAA